GUGGGGAAUAUUGGACAAUGGGCGAAAGCCUGAUCCAGCCAUGCCGCGUGUGUGAAGAAGGCCUUCGGGUUGUAAAGCACUUUAAUCGAGGAGGAAGGUUCGUCACCUAAUACGUGACGGAAUUGACGUUACUCGCAGAAUAAGCACCGGCUAACUCUGUGCCAGCAGCCGCGGUAAUACAGAGGGUGCAAGCGUUAAUCGGAAUUACUGGGCGUAAAGCGCGCGUAGGCGGUUGUGUAAGUUGGAUGUGAAAUCCCCGGGCUUAACCUGGGCACUGCAUUCAAAACUGCACGGCUAGAGUAUUGGAGAGGAAGGUAGAAUUCCAGGUGUAGCGGUGAAAUGCGUAGAGAUCUGGAGGAAUACCGAUGGCGAAGGCAGCCUUCUGGCCAAAUACUGACGCUGAGGUGCGAAAGCAUGGGGAGCAAACAGGAUUAGAUACCCUAGUAGUCC
rnacentral:rRNA from 1 species